AGGACGAACGCUGGCGGUGUGCCUCAUACAUGCAAGUCGAACGAUAAGGUCUCUUCGGAGAUACAUAAGUGGCGGACGGGUGAGUACAACAUAGGAAAUCUGCCCUAAAGCGGGGGACAACAGAGGGAAACUUCUGCUAAUACCCCAUAUGAGCUUAGUUGAAAUACUAAUCUUGAAAGAUUUAUCACUUUAGGAUGAGCCUGUGCCUGAUUAGCUGGUUGGUGGUGUAAUGGACUACCAAGGCGACGAUCAGUAGCUGGUUUGAGAGGAUGAUCAGCCACAAUGGGACUGAGACACGGCCCAUACUCCUACGGGAGGCAGCAGUAGGGAAUUUUGCGCAAUGGGCGAAAGCCCUGACGCAGCAACACCGCGUGAAUGUUAAGCCCUUCGGGGUGUAAAGUUCUGUCAGUAGGGAAGAACAAAUGACUGUACCUGCAAAGGAAGCACCGGCUAACUCCGUGCCAGCCGCCGC
rnacentral:rRNA from 1 species